GGGGGCGUACUGGUUUCGACGGCUCUGAUGAAGUCGCGAUAGCGGGCAGAGGACCCCGUUGGCCUCUUAAAAAAACGGGAACUUUUUUAAAUGCCGAUAAACCGGUACUUGCAGCUGCGUAAUUAACGCCUGCCAUGGCGCUACGCUCGAUCUGCCGGUCGUAGUUUGCUGUGUUAUUGAAUGCAGACCUGGCCACCCGGAGGUUAAGGUGGCAACUUCCGAACUAAGCUUUGCCUUCGGAUAGUAUUGAUGAAGCUACCGGCGGCUGAGAGGUGUCGUGACCUUAACAGCCAAGGGGAAUACUUAAAAUCCACGACUGCGCCCGGAGAAGUUGCGCCGGAUAAGAGUUCGGACAGGAGUUCAAUUCUCCUCGCCUCCACCA
rnacentral:tmRNA from 1 species